GAUUAUAAUUUCAAGUCGGACCUGCCCAAUGAGUAGUUGAAUGGCUGCGGUAUAUUGACCGUACAAAGGUAGCAUAAUCAUUAGUUUUUUAAUUGAAAGCUUGUAUGAAUGGUUUAAUGAAAAAGUGACUGUCUCUGUUAUAUUUUUAUAGAACUUUAUUUUUAAGUGAGAAAGCUUAAAUGAAGAUAGAAGACGAGAAGACCCUAUAGAGUUUUAUAUAUUAGUUUCAUUUAAAAUUUUAUUUAGAAUUUAGGUGUUGUAAAAUGUAUUUAGUUGGGGUGAUGGAAAAAUUUACUAAACUUUUUUUUUAUUUUAACAUUAAUUUAUGAGUUUUUGAUCCUUGAAUUAAGAUUAGAAGAUGGAAUUACCUUAGGGAUAACAGCGUAAUCUUUUUUAGAGUUCUUAUCGAAUUUAAGGAUUGCGACCUCGAUGUUGGAUUAAAAUUUAAUUUUGGUGUAGUAGCUGAAAUCUUAGGUCUGUUCGACCUUUAAAAUUUUACAUGAUCUGAGUUUAAACC
rnacentral:rRNA from 1 species